AAGUCGUAACAAGGUUUCCGUAGGUGAACCUGCGGAAGGAUCAUUAACACGUAUCCAACGUUAAACAACCCUGUGAACUUUCAGCCUGCUCUUGUAACCAUGAGGAACAGCAAUCCCGGUAAAUCAUUGCAAACAGUUUUGAUUCGGGACCUCUGUCCAAAAGGUGUUACAAUUGAGCGGUAGAGGCAGUGGCAUGGCUUCCCCAAGCAGUUAGUGAAUGACAGUGUCACUGAUUGUGUAAGGAUAACGCCUCACGGUUGCCAGAAACAUGUCACAGGGUCACCACGCCCCUUAAUCACCCCAAUUUGAAAUUGCUCCUACCUGGUGGUAACGCACUGGGUCAAAAAAACCGAACAACUGUUAACAAUGGAUAUCUUGGUUCUC
rnacentral:misc_RNA from 1 species